CCUUGGAAACGGGUGGUAAUGCUGGAUGCUCCAACUUGACGCAUGUCUUGUGGGAAAGUGUUUAGUGGCAUGGGAUGGGGUCGCGUCCUAUCAGCUUGUAGGCGGGGUAAUGGCCCACCUAGGCUUCGACGGGUAGCCGGCCUGAGAGGGCGGACGGCCACAUUGGGACUGAGAUACGGCCCAGACUCCUACGGGAGGCAGCAGU
rnacentral:rRNA from 1 species